rnacentral:rRNA from 1 species
UAGGGAAUCUUCCGCAAUGGGCGAAAGCCUGACGGAGCAACGCCGCGUGAGUGAUGAAGGUCUUCGGAUCGUAAAACUCUGUUAUUAGGGAAGAACAAAUGUGUAAGUAACUAUGCACGUCUUGACGGUACCUAAUCAGAAAGCCACGGCUAACUACGUGCCAGCAGCCGCGGUAAUACGUAGGUGGCAAGCGUUAUCCGGAAUUAUUUGGCGUAAAGCGCGCGUAGGCGGUUUUUUAAGUCUGAUGUGAAAGCCAACGGCUAAACCGUGGAGGGUAAUUGGAAACUGGAAAACUUGAGUGCAGAAGAGGAAAGUGGAAUUCCAUGUGUAGCGGUGAAAUGCGAAGAGAUAGGGAGGAAAAACAGUGGAGAAGGGGACUUUAUGGUAUGUAACUGACGAUGAUGUGCGAAAGCGUGGGGAUAAAAAAGG